CCUACGGGUGGCAGCAGUGGGGAAUAUUGGACAAUGGGGGGAACCCUGAUCCAGCCAUGCCGCGUGUGUGAAGAAGGCCCUCGGGUUGUAAAGCACUUUCAGUGAGGAAGAACGCCUGGUGGUUAAUACCCAUCAGGAAAGACAUCACUCACAGAAGAAGCACCGGCUAACUCCGUGCCAGCAGCCGCGGGAAUACGGAGGGUGCGAGCGUUAAUCGGAAUUACUGGGCGUAAAGCGCGCGUAGGUGGCUUGAUAAGCCGGUUGUGAAAGCCCCGGGCUCAACCUGGGAACGGCAUCCGGAACUGUCAAGCUAGAGUGCAGGAGAGGAAGGUAGAAUUCCCGGUGUAGCGGUGAAAUGCGUAGAGAUCGGGAGGAAUACCAGUGGCGAAGGCGGCCUUCUGGACUGACACUGACACUGAGGUGCGAAAGCGUGGGUAGCAAACAGGAUUAGAUACCCGAGUAGUC
rnacentral:rRNA from 1 species